UACGGAGGGUGCAAGCAUUGAUCGGAAUUACUGGGCGUAAAGGGCGCGUAGGCGGCUUAGAAAGUCGGAUGUGAAAUUCCGGGGCUCAACCCCGGAGCUGCAUUUGAAACUCCUAAGCUAGAGUUCAGUUAGGGUAAACGGAAUUCCACGUGUAGCGGUGAAAUGCGUAGAUAUGCGGAGGAACACCGAUGGCGAAGGCAAUCCCCUGGGUCAAGAUUGACGCUCAUGCACGAAAGCGUGGGGAGCAAACAGG
rnacentral:rRNA from 1 species